UAUCACAGCCAUCUUGAUGAUC
rnacentral:miRNA from 1 species